AUUCAAACUGCCCUAUGGAGCAGCCCAAAGGGUGCAGACCUGAGACCUCUGACCAACAGUCAGCAGGGAACUGAGACCUGCUGCCCACAGCCAUGUAAGCGAGCAUGGAAAUGGAUCCUGUAGCCCUGGUCAAGCCUUCAGAUGAGGAAGUUGAAAUCAAGACAAACAAGUGAUGUGGCCAAGGCCAAACAGUUGGUUCUUCAUCAACUUUCCUUCUCAGCUGGACUCUGGUAUCUGCAUCCUACACUGAGUUCUGCUCCAUCCUUCAGCUGCCAGCUUUCUUUGGCAAAUUGCCAUUUCCACUCCUUCCUAGGGAAACCCUUUGAACCCCAGUCACAAUUUUGUCUUUGAAGCUUUGAUCUUCACUCCACCCCAUGGGGAAAGCUCUUUAUUUCC
rnacentral:lncRNA from 1 species